rnacentral:rRNA from 1 species
ACAAGCCUGAGAAACGGCUAGUAGGACUAAGGUCUGCAGCAGGCGCGAAACUUACACAAUGCUAGAUUACUAAUAAUUAGCGAUGUAGUGAAGAAAAAUAACGAUGUACUUGCAUUUAAACAUGCUUGUACAAUUGGAAUGAGACGACUUUAAAUGAGUUAGUCGAGUAACAAAUGGAGGGCAAGUCUGGUGCCAGCAGCCGCGGUAAUUCCAGCUCCAUUAGCAUACAUUAAAGUUGUUGCGGUUAAAAAGCUCGUAGUUGAAUGUAGUGCGAGUUUUGUUUGCGCGUUGUCGUUAAGGGUUGUCCAUUCCUUCACUGGUUUGGUCAGCCUGGCUUCGUUUGUCAAACCAAAGCUCGUUGUUUCGUCACUUAAUCGAGUGCGAAGCGCGGUGGGCUGUGUUCAAGUGGGUGUCAAAGCUCACACACGACCACCAAGUUUACCUUGAGAAAAUUAGAGUGCUCAGAGCAGGCAGUUGGUGUGUAAAAGCUCCUUUAUGCUUGAAUAAUGUUGCAUGGAAUAAUAGAAUACGGCCUCGGUUCUAUUCUGUUGGUCUUAUAGAACAACAAACAAGUUGGAUAGUUCACUAACGCCUUGAGCGCUGGUUGUGCCCCCAAAAGACGGUCGUGUUGUUGCAAGCCUAAAAAACUUGUAUACCUCCCGCUCUUUAAGGGCAUUAAAAGCAACCUUUGCCCAUCAGGUAGAACUCCAUCCAACUGAGGCAAUGGUUAAAAGAAAUAGUCGCGGCGGCAUCAGUACUGCAUCGUGAGAG